CGGGGGGGGGGCAAGCGUUGUUCGGAAUUACUGGGGCGUAAAGGGCGCGCAGGCGGCCCGGCCAGUCCUACGUGAAAUCCCACAGCUCAACUGUGGAACUGCGUGGGAUACUGCCGGGCUUGAGUCCCGGGAGAGGAGAGUGGAAUUCCCAGUGUAGCGGUGAAAUGCGUAGAUAUUGGGAGGAACACCGGUGGCGAAGGCGGCUCUCUGGACCGGCACUGACGCUGAGGCGCGAAAGCUAGGGGAGCAAACGGGAUUGGAUACCCCGGUAGUCCUAGCCCUAAACGAUGAGCACUUUGUGUGGCGGGUAUCGACCCCUGCCGUGCAGAAGCUAACGCAUUAAGUGCUCCGCCUGGGGAGUACGGUCGCAAAGGCUG
rnacentral:rRNA from 1 species